UCCCGGAGGUGGCGGUAAUUCAAAGAUAAAUUCGUCACCGCCAUUAUAAUCCAACGAAGAAGAACUUUGCCGUUGUUGUCCGAGGCUGAAGCUAGUUAGCUGGAGACGCUGAAAACUCUUCUGAACAGAUCAAACUUCACUCUGUGAUCCCCGAAUAUGUUUUUUGAAGAGCUCCAGAAGCACAAAGGUCGACAGUAAACCGGAAGAAGAAGAAGAAAAGACGAAGUUAGCGCGAAAAGCCUUUCUACAAACAUGUCUGAAGUCCAGCAGCUGAGGGACAUGUUGAAACUACAGCUAACACCUGCUGAUGAAGGAAUGAUGACAGACCAGGAAGCAGAAAUGAGUCAUUUAAAAGAAGAGAACAAAAGAGACAUGCAGCCGUUGUUGGUGAUUAAAGAAGAAACUCUCCCUGAACACCAGGAAUGG